rnacentral:tRNA from 1 species
GGGUAUAGCUCAGUGGUGAGAGCACAUGCUUAGCAUGCACAAGGUCCUGGGUUCAAUCUCCAGUACCUCCA